GCAGUUUCAGUUCCACCUUUGUACUUAGUGACUUAUUUUCAAGUAAAUGUCUCGUAUAAGCAUCCAUGGCAGAGACUGAAGUUUCUGAUGAAAUCUGAUCCAGUAACCUAUUGCGGAGUUCCAGUCUUCACUGAGUUAGAUUUUCCUAUUUUUCCACAGCACAUAAACUCAAGACUUUUAGGACCAGCUAACACAUGCAUAGAAGAGCCUUCUUUCUUGCAGGAAGACUAAUGAGUUGUAUGGAAUCCAGCUGAGGGAAGCCUGCAGAGCCAGAAAAUAAAGUUCAUAGAAGUUCCCAGUAUUUUUCUUUUAUCCUGACAAAAUCCUGUUCUCUGCACAUAGCUGCUGAUGUAGAUGCCUUGUGAGAGUGACUCUCUGGAACUGCCUCAAAAAUGGGCCUUGUAAUAUAAUCUUCAGUAAAAGGAUGAAGACAGAACCUUCAAGAAGUUCUAGGCAUCCCAGGAUACUGAAGACACAAUAUAAAUUCUUAUCACAACAAGGAGAACUUUUGAGUCUGCCCCACUCUGACAUUGCUCUGGGAAAGAAGAGUUGAUGAGCACAAUUCAGUUUUUCAUAUGUCUACAUCGCCUAUGUUGUGGACUUAACUCCUUUGGAGGCUGGCUGACCAUAAAAGAAGAGAAUACCUAGGAGGAAAAAAGGCAGAGCUAAUGUUAAGCAAGAAUUACUGUCAUGCCAUGCCUGCAGUCACAAUCAGAGGUCUUUACCAGAGAAAAUAUAGGCAUUCAGGACUGCUAAAAUGUUGCCACACAGAACCAUUCACACAGGAUGUGGCUAGGGUCCUUAUCUCUCCUGUUACCCUUUUAUAGCUCAAAUUCUCUGGCCAAUUCUGUAGCAGUUUUUUGUUUCCUCAUUUUCCCCCCAUUUAUAAAACUGUAUUUUGCCAACAGAUUUGAACUUAUCCUACAGAUCUGACUCAGAAUGUUUAUUUUCCUUAAGACAACUACAAAAAGCAUUCCCGGUAAAGCAAUCCUCCAGUCCUCCCACAUUUUAUAAGAGAAAGAAAAAGAAAAAAAAAAAAAAAAAAACCACGUAACAGAUACAAACUUUAUUGAAUAAGGAACAUAAACCCAUUUAAAUCACUUCCAUCUUACAUUUUAUGAUACAGUCAUGAAUUAUGCUCUUUUUCUAUUUGUGAAGAAGGUAGAACAGAUGGCAAAGGCUAAGUUUAAAAUGAUGCACCCAUUAAAAUAACCUACACUGCCCAGAGAUUGUUCACAAAAUGACAGGAUUUGUGUGCUUUUAGAGAAUUUUUGCUCUAAUGAAAUUUUAUACUUUGCAAGGAGGUGGACAUCAGAAUAUGUUUAUUAUAUCCCGCUAUAUAUAACAGCAAAACUCUGCAGUAAUUUUAAAGAUCAUUUAUGUAUUUUGUGUGUGUUUGUAUACAUACAUACUUGGAAAGGCUUAUGCUUGGGGAUUUAGAGAUGUGAAGCACUGAUUAAAAUGAUAUAUGACUGCAAA